UGGUUUUGAGAUGAAUAAGAAUAGUACUAACUGUUAUAUAUUUUUUUCCCAUUACACACUUUCCAAGCUUUCAAGGACAGCAUGGAGAAACAUCGUUCCUGAAAGCACCAAAAAUUUCCCUUGAUCUAAGCCCCGGACCCGUUUGAAUCCCACAGCAGUCCGGCGAGAUGCGGGAGGUUCGCAAUAAUUGGAAAUGGCUCCUCUAGUUUCGGAGACACAAUCAGAUGCGUCUUGCAGCUUCAAAGCGGUCGAUGUUGAAGAUCCCACGCUCACGAUCAGGACUACAGCCAGAGGAGCAACUUUUCCCAUUUCUUGACACAAUGAAUCGUCAUGACAUCUCCGGCUAACCUGAGAUGCUGCUGGGAAGUGAAACGCACGAAACACCUUCAUCCUUGAAGAUCUGAAAAAUGAUGGGAGUCCAAUUCUUACAAAAGGAUGAGAUCCAGCGGUCUAGACAGGCCAAAUUCAAUAAGCACAUUUUCCAAACGCUGAAAAUGGCAGUAGAGCGAAAGGAAGGAACUGAUUGGAAAUGUCUGAUUUCCACACUCAGGCUGUAAUUCGAUCUUACACAGAUGCAGAGAAGGAGUUUGAACUUUGCAGCUCGGCUGAUCUGCUCUGCUCGAGAGCUCAUUCCAAUCACGCACGUCUGUGGCAU